rnacentral:rRNA from 1 species
CAAUAGCGUAUAUUAACGUUGUUGCAGUUAAAAAGCUCGUAGUUGGAUUUCUGGAGGGAGCGUCGGCCCGUAUUUACGAGUGCGUGACGUCUCUGUCCAUCCUUGCGGGAAGGCACGGCAUUGAUUUGUUGUGUCGGAUCGCAUCAUUUACUGUGAAAAAAUUAGAGUGUUCAAAGCAGGCUUUCGCUUGAAUACAUUAGCAUGGAAUAAUAAGAGAGGACUUUGGUGCUAUUUUGUUGGUUGAGCCUAAAGUAAUGAUUAAUAGGGAUAGUUGGGGGCACCUGUAUUGCGUUGUCAGAGGUGAAAUUCUUGGAUUUACGCAAGACAAACAGCUGCGAAAGCGUCUGCCAAGGAUGUUUNCAUUA